rnacentral:lncRNA from 1 species
CCUUUUCUACCGCAGAUGUGUCAAUGUCCAGAAAGAAGUCAUCCAGGCCAGAGUCCCCCAAGUACCGGGAGCUCAGAGCUUCUAAGAAGACUGGAUCAGGCUGGGGUGGAUUCUGAGGGGGCUCAGUCCCAUCCAUGGAGGUGUCCAGCUCCCUGAGGAUAGAGCCAAUGGUGGCUGACAGGGAGAAAUCCUCCUCGCCCAGGAAGAGGGGCUCGGGGGGCAGGGCAGGGGCGGGAGCCAGGCGAAGUGCAGCCUGCAGCUGUUGGAGGGUGUUAUGGAUGAGGACAUGCCUGCGGAGGCUGGGUGCUCGGGGGCCCAGGCUGCGCUGGACUUUGUCUAGGGAGAUGCGGAGCAGGGCUUGCUGGUAGCUCUGAAGGCCUGCUGGACUCCACUCCCACCUCUCCUCCUCCUCUUCCAAAUCAGAGUG